rnacentral:rRNA from 1 species
GACGAACGCUGGCGGCGUGCUUAACACAUGCAAGUCGAACGAAGUGGCGAACGGGUGAGUAACGCGUAUCCAACCUGCCCUUUACUCGGGGAUAGCCUUUCGAAAGAAAGAUUAAUACCCGAUGGUAAAGGAUGGGGAUGCGUUCCAUUAGGUUGUUGGUGAGGUAACGGCUACCAAAGCCUUCGAUGGAGAGGGGUUCUGAGAGGAAGGUCCCCCACAUUGGAAAUGAGACACGGCCCAGACUCCUACGGGAGGCAGCAGUGGGGAAUCUUCCGCAAUGGACGAAAGUCUGACGGAGCAACGCCGCGUGAGUGAUGACGGCCUUCGGGUUGUAAAGCUCUGUUAAUCGGGACGCGUUACCGGAAUAGAAAGCCACGGCUAACUACGUGCCAGCAGCCGCGGUAAUAC